rnacentral:rRNA from 1 species
UACGUAGGGAGCAAGCGUUGUCCGGAAUCAUUGGGCGUAAAGCGCGCGUAGGUGGCCCCAUAAGUCCGCUGUGAAAGUCAAAGGCUCAACCUUUGAAAGCCGGUGGAUACUGUGGGACUAGAGUACGGAAGAGGCGAGUGGAAUUCCUGGUGUAGCGGUGGAAUGCGCAGAUAUCAGGAGGAACACCGAUAGCGAAGGCAGCUCGCUGGGACGUUACUGACACUGAGGCGCGAAAGCGUGGGGAGCGAACAGG